rnacentral:rRNA from 1 species
GCCUAUCAUAACCCUGCGG